AUGGCCUGAGGCCCCCAGGAGGCCCCUGAUGUAGAAGGUUCUGACUGGAAAGGAGCCACACCUUGUCCCAGGGCCCAGCCGCAAGGAGCCUGCCCCCAGAGUCACAAGCUCUCCCCACAGCGCUGCUUCUUCUGGCUCUGCCUGACCACGCCACUGCUUGACCUGGAGCCCACGGGUGACCACAGCCCCCAUGCGGUAGCCCAGGCACUGGCCAGUCUCUCAGCACCUUCACGACUCUCCUCUAGGAACCCUCCGUCUGUCCUCUGGUUCCGGCCGAGAUCCACACAGUCACCAAGCUCAGGAUCAAACAUAAAACGCAUUUGCCACAAAUAAAUAUCACGACCAGAACGGGCAUCGGCCUGAGCCUCAA